AUGGAGUUUGGUUCUAGCUCUGAGUUGGGUUCUAUCUGGAUAGUGACACAUUGGUACUAAAUGGGUAAUGGGAGGCAGAGUAAAGCUGCGGAGGGUCUACUCUAAAUGGGGAGAUUGUGCUGUGUUUUGCGACCUUAUUAGAGUAUGCGAAGAUGGGUGAUAAAUUUUCCCGACACCAGUGAGAGAAGAUGGUUUAAGAACUCGGGCACGAGGAUCAUAGGUGGAUAGGUUAUAGAUGGGAAGUGUAGUGCCAGCACCAGCGGUUAAACUAACUUCUAGCCCUAACUUUUUCGUAGGUGAGUAAAAGUGAAAUAAAAGGAUAUAUGGUUAAAUACUUUGGUGCAAUAUGGUUUAAGCAUGUGCUGUGUGCCUUAAAAACUGAAAGCUUAAAAGUCUGAACGGUAGACCAGGGUUAGAGUCCUGUUAUUAAUGAUGUACAGUUGCCCUGCGGUAAGUACGAGCAGCAUGAAGCUUAAAAACCAAAGAACUUGGCGGUGCGUUAAAUUCUUCCAGGGGAACUUGACGGUUAAAUCGAUAAUCCUCGUUAUAUUUUACCUUUUCUAGUCUUGCUAUACCGCCGUUGCCAGUUAGAUUCGUGAGGGUGUAGAUUUUGGCUUAAAAAGUGCUUCCUAAAUGUUUAGGGAUUACUUUGAAAUUCAGGUAAACGUGGUGGUUUUGAAAAGGGCUUAGUUGAGUUACAUUGUUGUAUUGAUUAUGGAAUGGGGUUGCAAUACUUCAGGAAAGUGGACUUGGUAGUAAACCUUUGUUAGAGAGAAAGUGUUGAAUCAUGACACGAUGCGCGUACAAAUUGCCCGGCACCCCCAGAUAAGAAAACUGGGGUAAGCCGUAACAUGGUAAUGCUACUAGAAAGUGGUGUUAAUUAAGC
rnacentral:rRNA from 1 species